ensembl:lncRNA
GUACAAUUUCUACUUAAAAUAUCAAAGGGACGCAAAUGGCACUCAUUUUGUGGAACCACCCUCUAAUACCCUGAACGGCAACAAGGCUCACAUCUAUAGAGCACUAAGAACUCUAGCUACGGGCAAAAAAUAACUGUUAGUGAAAUACCAGCCUUUUUAUUUAUUUUUAUAUAAAUGCUGCUUUUUUUUGGCAACCACAUCAGAUAAUUUUCUUUGGACCUUAAAUGGCCUAGUUUGGGCUGUAAACAAGCUAGUGUACACCAAUAGCAAUGGAGACAGUAAAGCUGCCUGUCUGCAAACAACAUCUGUGAGUGUUAGCAGGACUAGUGAAAUGAACAACAUGACUGUCGACAGAACUGCCUGUUACCUCCUAUCCACAUUAUAUGUACACUGAACAAAAAUAUGAACGCAACAUGCAACAAUUUCAAAGAUUUUACUGAGUUACAGUUCAUUUAAGGAAAUCAGUCGAUUGAAAUAAAUGCAUUAGGCAGUAGUAGUCUAUGGAUUUCACAUGACUGGGAAAACAGAUACCUUAAAAAAAUAUAUCACAAAACCAGUCAGUAUCUGAUGAGACCACCAUUUGCAGUGCGACGCAUCUCCUCGCAUAGAGUUUAUCAGGCUGUUGAUUGUGGUCUGUGAAAUGUUGUCACACUCCUGUGCUGUGCGAAGUUGCUGGAUAUGGGCAGGAACUGAAACACGCGGUCGUACCCGUUGAUCCAGAGCAUCCCAAACAUGUUCAGUGGGUGACAUGUCUGGUGAAUAUGCAUGGAAGAACUGGGACAUUUUCAGCUUCCAGGAUUUUUGUACAGAUCCUUGCGACAUGGGGCCGUGCAUCAUCAUGCUGCAACAUGAGGUGAUGGGGACAGAUAGAUCGCACGACAGUGGGCCUCAGGAUCUCAUCACGCAAUCUCUGUGCAUUCAAAUUGCCAUUGAUAAAAUGCAAUUGUGUUUGUUAUGCCUUAUGCCUGCCCAUACCAUAACCCCACCGCCACCAUGGAGCACUCUGUUCACAGCGUUGACGUCAGCAAACCGCUUGCCCACACGACGCCAUACAUGCUGUCUGCCAUCUGCUCGGUACAAUUGAAACCGGGAAUAAUCCGUGAAGAGCACAUGCCUCCAGCAUGCCAGUGGCCAUUGAAGGUGAGCAUUUGCCCACUGAUGUCAGUUACGAUGCCGAAGUGCAGUCAGGUCAAGACCCUGGUGAGGAUGAUGAGCACGCAAAUGAGCUUACCUCAGACAGCUUCUGACAGUUUGUGCCAAAAUUCUUCGGUUGUGCAAAUCCACAGUUUCAUCAGCUGUCCGAGUGGCUGGUCUCAGACAAUCCCGCUGGUGAAGAAGUCUGAUGUGGAGGUCAUGGGUUGGCGUGGUUACAUGUGGUCUGAGGCCGGUUGGGCUUAUUGCCAAAUUCUCUAACGAGGCGGCUUAUGGUAGAGAAAUGAACAUUAAAUGAUCUGGCAACGGCUCUGGUGGACAUUCAUGCAGUGAGCAUGCCAAUUGCACGCUCCCUUAAAACUUGACACAUCUCUGGCAUUGUGUUGUGUGAUAAAAUUGCCCAUUUUAGAGUGGCCUUUUAUUCCCCCCAGCACAAGGUGCACCUAUGUAAUGAUCAUGCUGUUUAAUCAGCUUCUUGAUAUACCACACCUGUCAGGUGGAUGGAUUAUCUUGGCAAAGGAGAAAUGCUCACUAACAGGUAAACAAUAUGCAAAAAAAAUGUAGAGAAAUUACAUUUUUUGUGCGUAUGGACAUUUCUGGGAUCUUUUAUUUCAGUUCAUGAAACACCUUCACUUUAAAUGUUGCAUUUAUAUUUUUGUUCAGUAUAGAGAUGCUACCUCCUAUCCUCAUGCUAUUUACAGUAGAUAGGAGAUGGUCAAAUCAACCAGUUGAAUCGGAGAGCAAAACCAGACAGUAAAGCAUCCCAUCAUGUGCUAUUAAUCACUUGGAAUGUGAAGUGACUUAAUAACAAACAGAGGUGUAAAUAGAUAGAUAGCUAGAUGCCAAGACAAAUGUGAAAGACAAAAGUAAUGUGAACAAUCACUUGAUGAUAACCCUUAUUGUAAAGCUAUGUAUAUUUUUGUGAAUAUUGUAAAUAAUCUAAAAUGUUAUAAGGCGAAAGUCAAAUGUAAUGUGCGAGGUUGGUGCUUUAGAAGCAUUCUAAAUAUCAUGUUGUUAAAUAAGACAUUGUUAAGUGGCUACGUUUGGCCAGUAUUCCCAAAUAUAUUAUAAUGUUUGUAUCCACUGUGAGGUAACUAAAAUGCUACAUGCUGCAGUGUUGGAUCAUCAAUAUACAGUAUUGUUAAAAGUGAACUUGGGGCACAGUAAUUGGGCAUUACAUUUAAAACACAAAACAAUGUGUCUUUCUAUCUGGGUCUGACACCACUAGAACUUCAGCUGUUUGUAUUCUGAUUGUACAUAAUAAUAUUGUACACAAUUUCAUACCAAAAUGUGUAUCUUUUGUGAACCUGAUAAGGUUGAGAUUGUGUUAUGAAAAUAUAAGCCAAAAUAGUCAUUGGCUUAUUAUCAGUAGAUCUGACCCAGAUGAUGAAGUUUCAAAUAUAUUUUCUAUAUGUAAUAAAUAUAUUGCCAAUCUUACUCACCAGAGCUCUUGCAUCAAAAUGAAAUAGUUAAAGGCGCAGUGCAGUCAAAAACAUGAUUGUCCUGUGUUUUAUAUAUAUUUCCACCCUAUGAGUUUGGAACAAUACUGUGAAAUUGUGAAAAUUAUGAUAAUGCCCUUUUAGUGUAAGAACUGUUUGAAAAGACCACCUGAAAUUUCAGCCUGUUUUGUUGGGAUGGAGUUUUGUCCUGCCUGGUGACAUCAGUUAAUAGACCAAAAAGAAAGAGUUCCAAACCUCUCAGCCAAUAACAGCUCGUUUUCAGUUUUCCCCUCUCAACUCAGACCACUCCCAGACAGUCAAAAAUAUUGGUAGAGAAAUUGCUCUUUGCUUAGAAGCUAUUUUUGUUUCUUUUUGGCCAUUUUACGUUAAGACAAUCACAGUAAGGUACUUAACUGUUACCCAGAAAUGAUUGGAUAUUGAGACAAAAGCAGCUGCAUUGGACCUUAAACAUUGCCAUAUACUGGCUCCAUCCUGGAAUCUUAAUGGUGUACUUGUUCUGACAAACAUUCUACUACUUAUUAAUGAACUCAUCCUGAUCAUUUGUGAUCUCAAGUAAAACAUGUAUUGUUUCUCUCUGUGUAUAUAGACAUAUGGGCACUUAGAUGUAUAUAAUGCAUGUUAGCAGUGAGUACAUUCAUUGUGAGGGACAAACAACUGUGUUGAGUUGUAUUGUGUUGCUUCAGUUGUAAUAUCAUGUGCCAUGCAAAGCUAAUCCAAAGUUAAUGCAAAGCCAAAAGAGUCUCACCGUCAUAGAAUCCAUGAAUGUUCUUUGGUGUGUCUUUACUUUUUGUGUUUGGGGGGUUUGAAUAGAAGUACAUGUUUUUUUAAUAGGAGAAAGGGGAUGUUUUUUGGAAGGAAAAUAUGUUUGGAAGAGAAAUAGAAAACCCAAUACACUAGGAAAAUUGGCAUUAGACCCUACUUAUGUAUAAUGUAUUUUAAGUGUUGCUUGCUGCAGAUCCCGAUAGAGAAGGUAUGUUAUCUCAAAGCUUUGAGUCUUAGUUGUAUGUUAACAUGUAUAUAUGUCUCCACAGAGGUAAACAGAGUAUAAAUAUAUAGUUGUGUAUAAAAAAAAUAUAUAUAUUAAAGUAUUUACCUAGAGCCAAUC